UCUGUCGUAAAAUGUUUAUUUAUAUAUUACUUUUGUGAUAUAUUCAUCAUGUCAUUAAGAAGUAAAGUAAUCACUUUAUAUAAGAAUCUGUUACAUCUUGGAAAGGAUUGGCCAACGGGGUAUGACUUUUUUAGACAUAGACUUCAUAAGGCAUUCACAAAAAAUAAGGACGUUAAUGAUCCCGAAGAAAUUAAAAAAUUAAUUAAGCAUGGAGAAUUUGUACAAAAAGAAAUUGAAGCAUUGUAUAUGUUGAAAAAGUAUAGAACAUUAAAGAGAAGAUAUAACAUAGGAAACAACAGUCCACAGCACACAUCUUCAAUUAUCUCUUUCUAAGAUCUCUCGUAUAGGAAGAUUCUCCAACCAGCUCUUUAAGGUUACAGCUGAGCAUACACUAUCUGGUGUUGGGUCUUUCCCAGCCUCAUUUAGUAUUGAUCUUAUCCAUCCAACGAUAGCCGUUCUUGAAGAUAGUAUUAAGGGACCUGUUAGCGUAAUAAAAAAGCCGUCAAUCAUAUUAUUCUGUUUCUUCGGCUUCGAGGAGUUUCAAGUGACUGGGCAUAGUCUGAUGUUGAGAUGCUUCAGCAAUCUCUACUUUCAUUGCCUAAAAUUCAUAUUAUCCAUUUUGGAUCCAAAAGGCUGGCCAAAAAAUGAUCUCGCCCAGCAUCACCUGAUGUUAACAACAAAAUCAAUGCAGCUCUCCUAGAGGCUUGGAAGAGGUUUAAUCUUUUACACAACUUUUCAGCAACCAAUCAAACACAAUCUGCACACCCUAUAUCUGAUUAACAACUUCUCCUGGUCUGCUUACUGAAACAGCUUUUAGUAUCUGGUGGACUAGAAAAUUUGAAGAUACUCCUUCCAUCUCUCCUAAACAAAAUGACGCUAUCGCUGGCUUAUCGACCACUACAAGCUAGACCUUCCAGAAAUAGAUUUGCUAAUAAUCUUGCAGCCUGCUGACCUUCUGGAUUUCCAGGAUGUAAUUGUCUCUCCUGACACCAUCUUAGUCAUUUACGAAUCGGAGCUUUAUAGGUUUCAUCAUUGGUCGAUUUUCUCCAGCUCUCUUUGAUUAAGUCUCUUUCUUCCUGCGACCAGGAUUUUUUCCUAUACUCAAUAUUCCACGCUUGCAGUGUAGUCAGAUAUAUUUGGGGUGGAGGUGAUCCCGUUGAUAAGUUUAUUAAAACUACUCUGAGGUUUUUGAUCACAAUUGGAUGCUCCAGGCUGCGAUUCUUUAAGUCUGUUACCAGAACAUCUUCUCCCAUUUUGGGGCUAUUAAUAUGACUUGACUUUGAGCCUUGUUGAGGUGUGCCAACACCUUGGGAAUUAAAAAGGGGGGUGGAAACACCCAUCCCAAAUGAAACACCCGCCUUCGACUGAAAAGAGCUGAUUGAUCGUUGGAUCUAAAGAGACAUAAUUUUUCAUAACAGCCACUUUCUUGAGGCAAACAUAUUUCAAAUUACAUUCGGCAGUGCCGCAUUUGUCAAUGCAUCAAAAAGCAGCGAAUCACUCGAUUCCCGCUUCAACCGCGACAGCUCAAUAAACCAUGGGAUCUGAUGGGACUCUAUCCUAGGACUUCAUGUAUGAGGAAAUUCAUUUUAGUGGUCACGGAUCUUUUCUUCUGUUGGAUAAGAGCAUUUCCCAUCAGCGCAGCCACUCCUGCCGUCGUCACCCAACUACCUGGAGCAGGAGGUGCAAUCCGUGCAAUUAUUACGGAUAAUGGUUCCUAAUUUACCAGUUGGAAUCGGAAGGCCACUUGCGUAAAAUGGAAAGGGCAACAUUUGGCAACAGCUACAUACCAUUCACGAGCGAAUCCUACAGAAAAGCGCAACCAGCCUAUGGAUUUAUCUGCAACUAGGCGAUCAUCGUACAUGGGACAAAAAUUCUCUUCGACCAGCGCGGCCGAAGGAACGCAGCUACCGGUAUCACCCCUUAAUACGCACCUUUUGGACGAACAUUCCUAGGGCCGGGAGAAUGGGAUAAUUUCACCUAUGACGAGGAAGUGGCUAACCUACCCACCUAUCAGGAAAGGACGGCUGAUAUACUAAGACAUCAACAGUCUUAUCAAAAUUAGCGAGCUGCCGCUGCAACCAGAGACUUACAUCCCUAUGAGCAUAUAACAUGUGUAUUGCAGGGAGCAACACCUUUCCAAUGCCGAAAACCAGUUUCAUGCCGGUUUUGCUCCCCGAUGGUUAGGUCCCCACAUAGUCCAGGAGUUUUUGAAUGAUGCACUGGGGAGCCACUGAUGUCCGCUACUUGUUGGUGGAGAGUUCAACUCAAGAAUUGAUACUUUAAAUGAAAUAAACCUAUACUCACACAAAAUACAUCUUUUGAGGAAACAAAAACAUCACUCGAUAAGACAAUUAACAACAAUGGAAGACUACUCCUUGGAAGGCUGGAAAAGUUGGUACUAUGUGUACUGAGUGGCAGGUCGAAAACGGGUACGCUUGGCGAAGUUGCGUUUAUUAGACCAAUGGGAACAAGUGUAAUAGAUCAGGUUUGGGUAAAUACGUCAGACUUAUCGGGUCAUAAAAAGGGUGGAAAAAUACGAGUGCGAAGAAGAUUUAAAAGUCAGUCUGCCUCUACGAAUAAUCAGUAUGUAUGCCCAACUGAGAUUGGCAGGAAACAAGAUUUUGAGAUCCACUUAUAACAAUAUAUCUUACGUGUGGGGCAUGAACGAAACUAUGUACUAUAUGCAAUUUACAAUACAACAUAUUUUCAAAGCCUGCUCGAUACUAGUUCACUUAAGAGAAGUAUAUAUAUUUGUAGAUUUUUUUAUUAAAUCAGCAUGAAGAUAUUUUAUUUUAUAGGGAAUUUUUUAAAAACCCGCUCCUUUAUGUUAAAUGAAUAGACAACCCAAAUCUCACAAUCAAAUGUUUUAAGUGAUAAGUAAAAUCUCAAAUGCUUGUAUAUGCUUCUAGACAUACUUAAUGAGGAGGCCAAACUUGAUUUGGCAAAUUGUAAUAGAACUUGUUAAAAAAAAUACAAUAAACAAAAUCUACCGUUAAAACCAAGCGGUUAGGCCGACAUCUUUUUUUCGAUUUUUCCUCUCCUCUUAUCUCGAAAUGGGACCCUAAUCUUCCAUAUAUUAUAUAAAAAAAUUACUCUAUAUUAGUUGAAAAGUUGAUGUAUCAGGCGGCAGAAGGUUCGAACGAUAUGUUUUUUGCAUGUUAGCUCCCUGACUAAAAUGUUUGAGGUGUUGCGGUAGUUGGAAGACUCAAUGCUGAGUAUUAUUGCGCACAAUUCGCUCUUAUGCCGUAAAUGGAAAACUACCAUGUAUUAUAUAUAUAUAUGUAUAUUUGGGUGCGAAAACCAUUUCUUACCCUAGUUUUGGAGGUUUUAAAAGAAAGCAAGUAAAACAACCAA
rnacentral:misc_RNA from 1 species